GAUGAACGCUGGCGGCGUGCCUAAUACAUGCAAGUCGAGCGAACAGAUGAGGAGCUUGCUCCUCUGACGUUAGCGGCGGACGGGUGAGUAACACGUGGAUAACCUACCUAUAAGACUGGGAUAACUUCGGGAAACCGGAGCUAAUACCGGAUAAUAUAUUGAACCGCAUGGUUCCAUAGUGAAAGACGGUUUUGCUGUCACUUAUAGAUGGAUCCGCGCCGCAUUAGCUAGUUGGUAAGGUAACGGCUUACCAAGGCAACGAUGCGUAGCCGACCUGAGAGGGUGAUCGGCCACACUGGAACUGAGACACGGUCCAGACUCCUACGGGAGGCAGCAGUAGGGAAUCUUCCGCAAAGGGCGAAAGCCUGACGGAGCAACGCCGCGUGAGUGAUGAAGGUCUUCGGAUCGUAAAACUCUGUUAUUAGGGAAGAACAAAUGUGUAAGUAACUAUGCACGUCUUGACGGUACCUAAUCAGAAAGCCACGGCUAACUACGUG
rnacentral:rRNA from 1 species